ACGCGUCGUAACUGGAACCACCUGUGGUAUAAAAAGGGGGCGCCAGCUUGUGAGCCUGUUUCGAAAGGCCCAACAAACAUCACGUCUUGUACUAGCAUCUACCGCAGGACACAGGUCAGCCAGCAUCGCAGCAACGUUUCAUUUUCCGUGACUUCCUAUUCUCCCCUAGUCCGCCGAUGCAUGCUUGCUAUACAUCGUGACUCUAUGAGACGCCGACUAACCUGAUGCGGCGAUGCCGAAACGCCGAUCAGUGCGGACGGCGGACUACAGACACAACUCCCUACACGUUAAGCAACACGCCAACACCCGUGUGCCUAUGACCAAUCGCUCAAAGCACGCUAGGGACGACAUCACAAAUGUUGAAGUAAUGAACUCUAUUUUUUUUUUCUUAUUUAUCUUGUGUAUGCGCUUUGCUUGUACAUGGUAGGGUCAUAAAUUUCUAAAAUUUAACUAUGUUACAAGAAAAGUUGAAUGGCCUAGCCACAAAUUGAGAAUGUUUUGGACAAUAUUGAUCUCGAUCGUUGCUUUUCUUGAAGAUUUUGCAUCAAGAAAUCUCUAAAAGCGAUUUUUUUACAAGGCAAUAAAGCAUUUUUAUUUGAGGUAAUCCAAGUUGAGUCAUGGCACACGGGUAAAAGGCUCUAGAAACAUUGUAGCGUAGCCUUGAAGACCAACUUGAGUGAAUCAGCACCUAGUACUAAUCUUCAGCUAGCUCUACGUAUGAGAAGUCACACCAAAGAGCCAAAGAAUAAUCUUCUAGACUAAUCACUACUAUCUAAUGGAGUAAGUAGAAUAGUCAUCAUUUCUCUUCUCUACAAGAAUUUGGCAUGAUUUUGGUAAAUUGACAAUCGAAUUGACUAGACAUAAUUUAUUGGUUAUGUAGUAAUGCAUGGUGCAUUUGAAAACUCUUGGGGAAGGGGAAGAUCCAUUUGAUGCUCUUCCAAUGCUUUAGUUAUGUAAUUUGGGACAGCUGAGGUAGGAACAAGAAGUAACAACAGCGCCUCAGAUAGAUUAAUUGGAACCCCAAAGGCAAGAUGUUGCAAAACACACACUCUUUUUUUUAAUUAGUUUGCCUUAAUUUGCUUCACCCAACACCAUUGGAAUCGAGGGCUCCAUUGGUGCAUUGCCAAAUAAAUAAGGCUGCAAUGAUUAUGUGUGAAAGGUCUGUAGAAUUUUAUUCAUUCAUCUGCUUUCCAAUCUUUAUCUUUUUCUUUGGAGUAAUUACUAUUAUUAUCAUCGUCAUCAUUGUUUUUGUAGUUAUUAUUGUUUAAUUGUUUUGAAGAGACUUAGUGCACUUAAUUUUCAAUUGCAUGUUCCAAUAAUACCUUGCUGGGAUGAGAACACAAGACAAUUUGAGAUAUAGCUUGAAGUCAGAUUCCUAUUUUUUUUUUUUAAAAAAAGAAGGCUUAUGCUCAGCUGCAUGGUAAUUGGAGAGCUUCGCCUUUGUUCUCUUGGCUUUGGUCCUCCAUUAAUCUGGGUAAACAUAAAUUUUUCUUCUGGUUACUACUCAGAGAUAGGCUGAACAACAGGAAUCAGCUGAGAGGAAGAACAAAACUGUGUGCUUUGUAACACUGACUGUGAAGACCAGCUUUCACCACUUCUUUGAAUGCCUUUGAGCUCUGCGUGCUGGAAGUCCCUAUCUAUAGACUGGAACCGGAAUCUGCAACCCUUGUGAUCUCGAUCUCAUAAUCACAACUAUUUGGAUUGGAAGACAAGAAAUGGUGUCAGUUUUGAUGGAGAACAUUAUGGGUGUGUUUGGUUGGCAGCCAGGCCUGGUCAUGGCUCCUUUGGGCCAGUUUUUUGGUGUUUGGUUACAUAAACUAGGUCUGAGGCCUGGCUAGGAUGGGCCAGCCGUACUGCUGGAGCUAGGCCAGCUUUGAACGGCCAAAUCGGUCG
rnacentral:lncRNA from 1 species